rnacentral:lncRNA from 1 species
GAAGAUUAAAGUCCAUAUUUACAGUUUAUAUCCUUAAAGCAGGUUGAAUACUUAUGCCAGCAUGUUUACAUGGUGGCAUUGAACAUAAGAAGACCAGAGAUGGUUGAGAAGCAAGUAGAGUGAAAGUCAGGUUCCCUGGUGGCCUGAAAGAGUUAAUGUUGUUUCCAAGAGUGCCCAACUUCCUUCCAGGCAGUAGUGCCUGCAUGUGAGAGUCUGGCUCCAAG